GUGAGGAAUAUUGGUCAAUGGGCGCAAGCCUGAACCAGCCAUGCCGCGUGCAGGAAGGCGGUCCUAUGGAUUGUAAACUGCUUUUAUUUGGGAAUAAACUCCGGUACGUGUACCGGCCUGAAGGUACCAAAUGAAUAAGCACCGGCUAACUCCGUGCCAGCAGCCGCGGUAAUACGGAGGGUGCAAGCGUUAUCCGGAAUCAUUGGGUUUAAAGGGUCCGCAGGCGGUCUUAUAAGUCAGUGGUGAAAGCCUACAGCUCAACUGUAGAACUGCCAUUGAUACUGUAGGACUUGAAUUCGAUCGAAGUGGGCGGAAUGUGACAUGUAGCGGUGAAAUGCUUAGAUAUGUCACAGAACACCGAUAGCGAAGGCAGCUCACUAGGUCUGGAUUGACGCUCAGGGACGAAAGCGUGGGGAGCAAACAGGAUUAGAAACCCGAGUAGUCC
rnacentral:rRNA from 1 species